rfam:Geobacter uraniireducens Rf4, complete genome.
UAUCCCUUUUAAUUUAGCCCCGUGAGGUUAGCAAAGGUGAUGAAUAGAGAACUCUUGAAGUGUAUAUCUGGAGAGCCUUUCCGUCUUUGUGCGGGAGGGCUCUUUUUCUU